GUAUUACUUUCUCAAUUCCAUUUACAAGCCAUCUUUCGAUGUCAGUUAUUCUGGAUGCGAGGAAAUAUUCUCUUAAGAUGACAUAUAUUGACAUGCUCUGACAUUAAUGACCAACAGCCAGAACUUUGGAGUCAUACGUACUAGCAAGAACUAAUGAUAUAACAUCCGUUUGCAUCACUUUACUUACAAAUACUACUGGGGUCAAACAGAAUGUCAUAUAAAUCGACAACGAGGUCAACUCAUCUGCAUUUGAUACUACAGCAGUGCACUGAGCAAUGAAUACAUCCGAUGACGUUGAUUUGAAAACAGCACAACUAUGCUCCCCAUCUGUGGAAAGAAUGGUCCUUUCAGUUCCAGCUACAAAUUCUACAUACAGAGGAUGUCUAGAUUCCCAGAAAAGAACGGUACAGAAGUAAUUUUGUGAAAUGGAAAGUCGCAGACAUCAUUAAAGAAGCAGAUUAUCCUGAGCAGACAUCUGCGUUUAAUGGGAACAAUUGCGCAACGUCAUUCCCCAUAAGAAGAUUGACUGCAUUUACAGCUAUUGGCAAAUAGUACGGAGAGCAGCUGUCCAGACGGCCAGAAAACAUUUUAUUGUUUGACACAGAAGUAAUAUCGGCUGGAUAACUUUUGACACUUAAUAGAUACCAGCUUGCGUGAUAAAGGUAUGCCACCAACCACAGUAUUUUCUCAGUUUCGUACACAUGCCAUCCAUCUAUAUCACUCUUCCUGGAUGCGAGGAAGUAUUCGCUUAAGAUACGUCUAUGUAUCCAAAGGCACAAUAGACAUGUUUUGCCCGAAAUGACCAUGGCUCAACAGGAAAUACCUGGAAUCUUCAACAGGAUUUUGGAAUAUGAACCGUUUUUAAAUUUAUAGUCGGUGAUCCAACAGAUUUAUUUGAUAGUUUUAAGAGCUAGAAAUAUUGAACCAAGUUCAAAAUGCAUCGUCUUUGGUACUCGCAAAUUACGAAAACUUACAUUCAAUAUGCACAGUGGAUUGAAAGUGAAAGGUUUAUAAUCUCUCCAUAUGCCAGACAAGUGGUUUCAAAGAAACGAGAUCAGAAUCAUGUGGAUUUAACAUGCGUAACUU